rnacentral:rRNA from 1 species
CGGUAGGUACUCGAGUGGCGAACGGGUGAGUAACACGUGGGUGAUCUGCCCUGCACUCUGGGAUAAGCCUGGGAAACUGGGUCUAAUACCGGAUAGGACCGCACUUUAGUGUGUGUGGUGGAAAGUUUUUUUGGUGUAGGAUGAGCCCGCGGCCUAUCAGCUUGUUGGUGGGGUAAUGGCCUACCAAGGCGGCGACGGGUAGCCGGACUGAGAGGUUGGUCGGCCACAUUGGGACUGAGAUACGGCCCAG